CCUACGGGGGGCAGCAGUGGGGAAUAUUGCACAAUGGGGGAAACCCUGAUGCAGCGACGCCGCGUGAGUGAAGAAGUAAUUCGUUAUGUAAAGCUCUAUUAGCAGGGAAGAAAAUGACGGUACCUGAGUAAGAAGCACCGGCUAAAUACGUGCCAGCAGCCGCGGUAAUACGUAUGGUGCAAGCGUUAUCCGGAUUUACUGGGGGUAAAGGGGGCGCAGGCGGCACGGCAAGCCUGAUGUGAAAGCCCGCGGCCCAACCGCGGGACUGCAGUGGGAACUACCGGGCUGGAGUGCCGGAGAGGUAGGCGGAAUGCCUGGUGUAGCGGUGAAAUGCGUAGAUAUUACGCAGAACUCCGAUUGCGAAGGCAGCAUACCGGCGCCCGACUGACGCUGAGGCACGAAAGCGUGGGGAUCGAACAGGAUUAGAUACCCUUGUAGUC
rnacentral:rRNA from 1 species